rnacentral:rRNA from 1 species
UACGGAGGGUGCAAGCGUUGUCCGGAAUCACUGGGCGUAAAGCGCACGUAGGCGGCUUUGUAAGUUAGAGGUGAAAGCCCGGGGCUCAACUCCGGAAUUGCCUUUAAGACUGCAUCGCUAGAAUUGUGGAGAGGUAAGUGGAAUUCCGAGUGUAGAGGUGAAAUUCGUAGAUAUUCGGAAGAACACCAGUGGCGAAGGCGACUUACUGGACACAUAUUGACGCUGAGGUGCGAAAGCCAGGGGAGCAAACGGG